UACGUAGGUGACCAGCGUUGUCCGGAUUUACUGGGCGUAAAGAGCGCGCAGGCGGUCGUCCAAGUCGAGUGUGAAAGCCCCCGGCUCAACUGGGGAGGGUCAUCGAUACUGAUCGACUCGAAGGCAGGAGAGGGAAGUGGAAUUCCCGGUGUAGUGGUGAAAUGCGUAGAUAUCAGGAAGAACACCCGUGGCGAAGGCGGCUCUCUGGGACGGUACUGACGCUGAGACGCGAAAGCGUGGGGAGCGAACAGG
rnacentral:rRNA from 1 species